UUGGUGGAGCGAUUUGUCUGGUUAAUUCCGAUAACGAACGAGACUCUACCCUAUUAAAUAGUGACAGUAUUGUAUUUUUUGUGCUGAUCACUUCUUAGAGGGACUGGCAAAUUGAAAGCUGCACGAAAAAGAGCAAUAACAGGUCUGUGAUGCCCUUCGAUGUCCGGGGCUGCACGCGCGCUACAAUGAAAGCGUCAACGUGAGUUACGUCCUUACCUGAAAAGGUUUGGCAAUCGAAUGAAACGUUUUCUUGAAUGGAAUAGGGAAUUGCAAUUGUUUCCCUUGAACGAGGAAUUCCCAGUAAGCGUGAGUCAUUAGCUCGCGUUGAUUACGUCCCUGCCCUUUGUACACACCGCCCGUCGCUACUACCGAUUGGAUGAUUUAGUGAGGUGUUUUGACUGGCGCCAGUAGUCGGAUAUGUAUUCCGGCUUCGCGCCGGGAAAUUUCCCAAACCAAAUCAUCUACAGGAACUAAAAAUUCUAACAAGGGUUUCCCGCAUGUGAACCUGCCAAAGGAUCUUUA
rnacentral:ncRNA from 1 species